rnacentral:rRNA from 1 species
CAGGCUUAACACAUGCAAGUCGAGGGGCAGCAUGGUCUUAGCUUGCUAAGGCCGAUGGCGACCGGCGCACGGGUGAGUAACACGUAUCCAACCUGCCGUCUACUCUUGGACAGCCUUCUGAAAGGAAGAUUAAUACAAGAUGGCAUCAUGAGUCCGCAUGUUCACAUGAUUAAAGGUAUUCCGGUAGACGAUGGGGAUGCGUUCCAUUAGAUAGUAGGCGGGGUAACGGCCCACCUAGUCUUCGAUGGAUAGGGGUUCUGAGAGGAAGGUCCCCCACAUUGGAACUGAGACACGGUCCAAACUCCUACGGGAGGCAGCAGUGAGGAAUAUUGGUCAAUGGGCGAGAGCCUGAACCAGCCAAGUAGCGUGAAGGAUGACUGCCCUAUGGGUUGUAAACUUCUUUUAUAAAGGAAUAAAGUCGGGUAUGGAUACCCGUUUGCAUGUACUUUAUGAAUAAGGAUCGGCUAACUCCGUGCCAGCAGCCGCGGUAAUACGGAGGAUCCGAGCGUUAUCCGGAUUUAUUGGGUUUAAAGGGAGCGUAGAUGGAUGUUUAAGUCAGUUGUGAAAGUUUGCGGCUCAACCGUAAAAUUGCAGUUGAUACUGGAUAUCUUGAGUGCAGUUGAGGCAGGCGGAAUUCGUGGUGUAGCGGUGAAAUGCUUAGAUAUCACGAAGAACUCCGAUUGCGAAGGCAGCCUGCUAAGCUGCAACUGACAUUGAGGCUCGAAAGUGUGGGUAUCAAACAGGAUUAGAUACCCUGGUAGUCCACACGGUAAACGAUGAAUACUCGCUGUUCGCGAUAUACUGCAAGCGGCCAAGCGAAAGCGUUAAGUAUUCCACCUGGGGAGUACGCCGGCAACGGUGAAACUCAAAGGAAUUGACGGGGGCCCGCACAAGCGGAGGAACAUGUGGUUUAAUUCGAUGAUACGCGAGGAACCUUACCCGGGCUUAAAUUGCAGAUGAAUUACGGUGAAAGCCGUAAGCCGCAAGGCAUCUGUGAAGGUGCUGCAUGGUUGUCGUCAGCUCGUGCCGUGAGGUGUCGGCUUAAGUGCCAUAACGAGCGCAACCCUUGUUGUCAGUUACUAACAGGUUCCGCUGAGGACUCUGACAAGACUGCCAUCGUAAGAUGUGAGGAAGGUGGGGAUGACGUCAAAUCAGCACGGCCCUUACGUCCGGGGCUACACACGUGUUACAAUGGGGGGUACAGAGGGCCGCUACCACGCGAGUGGAUGCCAAUCCCCAAAACCUCUCUCAGUUCGGACUGGAGUCUGCAACCCGACUCCACGAAGCUGGAUUCGCUAGUAAUCGCGCAUCAGCCACGGCGCGGUGAAUACGUUCCCGGGCCUUGUACACACCGCCCGUCAAGCCAUGGGAGCCGGGGGUACCUGAAGUGCGUAACCGCGAGGAGCGCCCUAGGGUAAAACUGGUGACUGGGGCUAA